rnacentral:rRNA from 1 species
CCUACGGGAGGCAGCAGUGAGGAAUAUUGGUCAAUGGGCUUACGCCUGAACCAGCCAAGUCGCGUGAGGGAAGACUGCCCUCUGGGUUGUAACCCUCUUUUGUCAGGGUGCAAUUGGCGCUACGUGUAGCGUUAUCGAGAGUACCUGAAGAAAAAGCAUCGGCUAACUCCUUGCCAGCAGCCGCGGUAAUACGGAGGAUGCGAGCGUUAUCCGGAUGUAUUGGGUUUAAAGGGUGCGCAGGCGGAAUGCCAAGUCAGCGGUAAAAUCGCGGGGCUCAACCUCGCUCCGCCGUUGAAACUGGCGUUCUUGAGUGGGCGAGAGGUAUGCGGAAUGCGUGGUGUAGCGGUGGAAUGCAUAGAUAUCAGGAGGAACACCGGUGGCGAAGGCGGCCUGCUGGACUGCAACUGACGUUGAGGCCCGAAAGCGUGGGGAGCAAACAGGAUUAGAUACCCCAGUAGUC